rnacentral:rRNA from 1 species
AACGAACGCUGGCGGCACGCUUUAAGCAUGCAAGUCGAAUGGAAUGGGGGGCUACCUCCAGCGAAUGGCGAACGGGUGAGUAACACGUAGGUGAUCUACCUCGCGGAUGGGGAUAGCUUGUGGAAAAACAGGGUAAUAUAGAAUAAGGUUCGCAGACUUUGGUGUGUGAUGGAGAGGGGCGUUUGCCUCGCCUUGGGGUGAGGCGGCGGCUGAGUAGCUAGUUGGUGGGGUGAGAGCCUACCAAGGCGACGAUCAGUAGCCGGCAUGAGAGGGUGUGCGGCCACACUGGGACUGAGACACGGCCCAGACUCCUACGGGGGGCAGCAGCUAAGAAUCUUCCGCAAUGGGAGCAACCCUGACGGAGCGAUGCCGCGUGGUUGAUGAAGGUCGAGAGAUUGUAAAGAUCUUUUCUUGGUGAGGAAUAAGUGUGGCAGGAAAUGGCUGCAUGAUGACGUUAACCCAGGAAUAAGCCCCGGCCAAUUACGUGCCAGCCGCCGCCGUAA